ensembl:snoRNA
AGCACUUAAGUGUGCUUUUGUUCAACUGGUGGACAAAGACAUAGAACACAGGUGCUAAAUUAAUCCUCUUCUGCAACUGGGAAUCACUGUUCAGUGUGAGUUUUAAAACAUACAGGAAUAUGGACACA